AGUGAACGCUGGCGGUAGGCCUAACACAUGCAAGUCGAACGGCAGCACAGUAAGAGCUUGCUCUUACGGGUGGCGAGUGGCGGACGGGUGAGGAAUACAUCGGAAUCUACUUUUUCGUGGGGGCUAACGUAGGGAAACUUACGCUAAUACCGCAUACGACCUACGGGUGAAAGCAGGGGAUCUUCGGACCUUGCGCGAUUGAAUGAGCCGAUGUCGGAUUAGCUAGUUGGCGGGGUAAAGGCCCACCAAGGCGACGAUCCGUAGCUGGUCUGAGAGGAUGAUCAGACACACGGGAACUGAGACACGGUCCAGACUCCUACGGGAGGCAGCAGUGGGGAAUAUUGGACAAUGGGCGCAAGCCUGAUCCAGCCAUACCGCGUGGGUGAAGAAGGCCUUCGGGUCGUAAAGCCCUUUUGUUGGGAAAGAAAAGCAGCAGGUUAAUACCCCGCUGUUCUGACGGUACCCAAAGAAUAAGCACCGGCUAACUUCGUG
rnacentral:rRNA from 1 species